rnacentral:rRNA from 1 species
CCCUUAGAUGUUCUGGGCUGCACGCGCGCUACACUGACAUACUCAGCAAGUUUCCUUUCCCGAAAGGGUUGGGUAAUCUUGUUAGUGUAUGUCGUGAUGGGGAUAGAAUAUUGUAAUUAUUGCUCUUUAACGAGGAAUUCCUAGUAAGCGCAAGUCAACAGCUUGCGCUGAUUACGUCCCUGCCCUUUGUACACACCGCCCGUCGCUCCUACCGAUUGGGUGAUCCGGUGAAUGGUUCGGACUCUGGCUAUGCUAGCUACUAGCUACGUCAGGGAAAGUUCCGUGAACCUUAUCACUUGGAGGAAGGAGAANUCGUANCA